UUUGUAGCGCAAAAACGACCCGAAGU
rnacentral:piRNA from 1 species